UCUCCGUUGGUGAACCAGCGGAGGGAUCAUUACAGGACUCGCAAGACUCCUACAACCCUGUGGACUUAACUAUAAGCACGUUGCUUCGGCGGGUGUCUCGGAGGGGGUUCUCCCUCCCCGAGACGCUAAACCCGCCGGCAGCCUACUAUACUCUGUCUCUUUGCGUUGGCAUCUCGAGUACAAUCAAACAAGUUAAAACUUUCAACAACGGAUCUCUUGGUUCUGGCAUCGGUGAAGAACGCAGC
rnacentral:misc_RNA from 1 species